AUACGUAGGGGGCGAGCGUUGUCCGGAAUGAUUGGGCGUAAAGGGCGCGUAGGCGGCCCGGUAAGUCUGGAGUGAAGGUCCUGUUUUUAAGAUGGGAAUUGCUUUGGAUACUGUCGGGCUUGAGUGCAGGAGAGGUAAGUGGAAUUCCCAGUGUAGCGGUGAAAUGCGUAGAGAUUGGGAGGAACACCAGUGGCGAAGGCGACUUACUGGACUGUAACUGACGCUGAGGCGCGAAAGUGUGGGGAGCAAACAGGAUUAGAUACCCUGGUAGCCCACACUGUAAACGAUGAAUGCUAGGUGUAGGGGGUAUCGACCCCUUCUGUGCCGCAGUCAACACAAUAAGCAUUCCGCCUGGGGAGUACGGCCGCAAGGUUGAAACUCAAAGGAAUUGACGGGG
rnacentral:rRNA from 1 species